UAAUUUGGCACGGUUUGGAUGAUUUGCAAUCUCUCUCACUCCCUUCAAGAGAUCCCCUGAGCAGACCUUGCAUGGAGACUGAAUGACUUUUCAUCUCUCAAGAGGGUGGUCCCUUCAGUGCAGUGCUGAAUUAGUCCUUUGGAAUCCCUGAAUGGGACCAAGGGAAGAGGAGAUGGGAACAAGAAGGUGGGAAGGGAAGGAAAGCGAAUGAGAAGUAGACGAAGGAGAAAAGAGGAGAAGCAAUGGAUGCAGGGAGCUAUCCCACAAAUACCUUACUUAGAGGGAAAGCCACUACAGACUACUGAAACCUGCCAAAUUCCAGUGCAUCCUACCCAGAAUUCCUACUUCCAGAGGACAUUACGCUGUUUGGAAUGAGACCAUAAUGGCAUCCCAGUCACAAUGAGGAGGAGUGGUCGGUCUUCAUGAGAUUUACUUCAAAGGUAUCACUACACAAGCACAUCUCUUAGGCACAGAGGAUUUGAUCUGAUUGGGCAACGUUUGUUUACAGUUUUAAAAUAAAAAAAAAGAAGAAGAAUGAAGCUAAAGCA
ensembl:lncRNA